rnacentral:lncRNA from 1 species
GUUUCUGCCGUUUCACUGUAGACAAAAUGAAUUCAUCUCUUUUUCUUGCCUUACAGAAAGAAGACGACAACGAAAGGAGAGGAGAGUGGAGCUGAAGAAGGCUGCCCUCAGAGCUGCCGCUGCACGUGCAGAGGUGAGUCCUUGGUGAACACAGACACGGCUCUUCUUGUUCUCAGGGCCUCCGUCUGUCACACAUGAAAGGAAGAGAGUGUAAAAUCCCGAGGGAAGUGGUGUCCUGUUUCUACCCUCGCUCCGUUUCUUCCCAGGCCUCCGCAGUGGACAGCCUUGUGGAGAUGAUGCAGAAGCUGCAGCUGAAGGACUGAGAGGAGGAGCGUCAGCAGGCAGCAGCUUCUGCAGUGCGCGGCGUUACAGGGCAGCGCUGAGUGCCGCCCAUCUCAGCACUCCACCUUCAAACGAAGUCAAUAAAAACCAGUCAAAUUUAUAGAUUCACAGAGUGCGAAAGGCCUGAUUUGUCCAGCGGCACUCGGAGAGCUGCUGCACCACCUCCUCGUUAUUGGUCUCGCGGCGCUCGCUCAGAACUGCCACAGCUCCGUCAGCGAAUGCUGUCGUCCAGUGAUGCAACGGAGGCAGCAGUCCUUUGCACUGCCCACAGACAGACUGUCUGCAAAGCACAUGCAAAGAGCUGCAGGGAACAAAGCCUGGCCAUGAGCGUGCUAACUUGGAGAGCAACGCUGUGGAGAUUGCUGAGUUUCCCAGGGCAGCACCGAGCGUUUUUUGCUGUGAUGACGGGUGUACAAUGAGCAAAGUUCAGCAAAAGGACGGCGUUUUCUGAAAAAAUGACAGGCUGUUGGUCCAGAGGAGCAUCUCUGCAGCUUAGGACCACCAGGCUGCCAUCCCGGCACUGUUCUGCUUGCAGACAGCGCUCCAUGUUGUGGCACUCAGAGGGCGUCCCUCUGCCGCGCAGCCCUCCCCAGUGUCUGCCUGCCUGUCACUGCUCCAGAUGGGAUGGAGCUGUUUCCUUUGCAGUGCCUCCCAUGGCGCUGUGUUCACAAGCGUGCACCCCAUCCCUCUGCACACCCACGAGCACGAAGACUCGAGCACUGCUCCAGCCUUGCACACUGCCAUGUGCAUGCACACAGAUGCAAAACUUUCACCUGCAAGCACUGUGCACACAGCGACGUGCAAUGCAUGCUCUGAUGUUCAGCCCCACCUCUGCACACCCCCGUAUGCACGCAUACCUGCACUCACAGCUCGAGGACAAAAUGCUGCUGGCACGGCACAGCCAACACGCAGGCGGUGGGUAAUGUCAGGAGGAAAGGCGCCCCCUUACGCUCAUUCAUUCUCCUCUCUUGAAUGAAUGCAUCGGGGCACAGCUGAAGCCCCAUCCUGAGAUGUGGAUUGAUGUGGGGUUCCUCAUCGGUGGGAUAUGGGGAUCCUGGGAUGGUGAUGGCGGUCCUCUCAGAAACUGUGGGAGUCCGAGAAGCAGGGGGGGGGGCUGAGGGUGUAAGGGAUAUCUGAGAAAGGAAAUAGGGGGGUUCAGCGGGAGCUCAGAGGGGGACGUGGGUUGCUGCUGGGGACUGUGGGGCUCUGUGAGGUCCCAGGUUUCCGGGGGGAGGUGUACUGGGAAAAGGUUUUUGAGGAGCUAUGGGGCUCUGUGGGGGCCGUGGGGGGGAUAUAGGGACAUUGGGGGAUAUGGGGACACAGCCUUCAGGAGCAGAAUGCUGUUCAGGAGAAGACAAGACGUGAGCUGCAGGUGGGACACAGGGGUAUGGGGUAGUAUGGGGACAUAGAGAGUAUGGGAGGAUGUGGGGAGCAGUUUGAGGUAAAAAGAGGUUGGGGGGGGAAGUGUUGGAGUGGUUUCAUUUCAUCUUGAGAGGAGACUGGGCGUCCCUGUGGCCCAAAGGUGGGGCCCUGAGCCGUAACCCCACAUGAGCCAUAACCCAAGAUGACCUCAUCACCCUGUAUGUGCGUGACCCCAUGGCUGCACGUGACCCGCAGCCCUGGGGGAACCAUACCCCCACAUGACCCUGUGACUCCCUGACUCUGCCUGCUCCCAUCACACUGUGAUCCAAUGCCAUGUGUCCCCAUGACUCUGGGAUCCCUGCCCCCACCUCACCCCGACCAUACAACCCCAUGGGACCAUGAACUCCAUGUCACCCAAUCUGAGCCUAUAGCCCCACAUCACCCCGUAACUCUGACACUGCUGGACCACCAUGUCACACACGACCCCACGUCCUCACCUCAUGUGGAUGUAGAACCAGUUGCGUGUGGGGAAAAGGCAUCUCCUCCUCUGGGUGGAGCUGCCCCACAGCUGCCCCAAAGAAGCCAUGGGGAGGGCUGCAGCCGUACGCCUCAGUUUGGAGAGCUGGGAACUGGCCAAAGGGGCCAGAAGAAGAACAUGAAUGCUUCUGUAGGGAAAUACCUGUCCCAGGGUUUGGUGGGUUCGUAGCUUCUGUUUCUGUAAGUGGAUGAGAAGAGAACAAACUGAUCCCACUGAGACCGGGGAAGGGACUGGAGCUUGGCUUGAACCAGGAACGGAGCAGGGAUGGACUGAAGCAAAUCAACUCUUUCAUGGGACAGUGGCAGAAGAAACCCAAGUCAGCUGCAGAACGAAAAACACAACCCCUUACAAAAGGGCGUCCCAGACUGGGGCCGUUGCAGCAGUAGGGGCAGUGCCUCUUGGAAGGGAUCUCGCGGUGAGACUGAAACCUUUUCAAAAGGCAUUAUGAAACAAAAUUAGAUUAUUAAACAUAAUCAUUAAACAUAAACAGAUUACCUAAAGCCCAAGGAGAAAACACGUUUCAGAUUGAAGACCACAAAAGCAUCAUAUUCUAUUGCAAGACAACUUCAGUUCCAGUUUCAAUUUCAUGACUAGCAUUUCACCCUCCCUGCUGUGGAAAGGGGGGAAAGAAGGAAGGGAGAGCCUUCUCGCCCCACAUCCCUUUAGAGAUCACCCUAUAGCUCCAGAUCAUCCUAUGGACCCACACAGCCCCUUAGAGGACCACAUCCUCCAAACACCCCCUAUAGCCUUAUAUCUCCCUAUAUCCCCAAAUAGCCCACCACAGCCCCUCUGUAACCCCCAAAGCCCCAUUUUAGCCCCCCAUACCUUCUCCAGCAUAACAUCCCUCUCUACAGACCCUCCCUGGCCCCCUAUCAUCCUAUACCCUCCCACAGCCUGCCACAACCCCCUAAAAAUUCACUACUACCCAUAUCUCCCUAUAUCCCCUCCACAGCCCCCUAUAGCCUCCUACCCUACUAGAACCCUCCUACAGACCACCCACAGCUCCCUAAAGCCCCAUAACCACCUAUAAAGCUCCUAUAGCCUCUCCAUAGAACCAUAUAGCUUUCCCAAUAGCCCCCUACAGCGUCAUAAUAUUCCCCUGCUCCCUACAGCCACAUAGCACCCCAUGUCCCCUCUACAGCCCUAAGACCCUCCCUACAGUCCCCCAGCCUCUAAAGCCCAAUCUCCCCUUAUAGCUCCCCACAGACCCACACUGGCCCUAGACUCCCUCCAGAGCCCCCCACACUCUCCCAUAUCCAGCCUCAUAUCCCCCUAGAACCCUUCUAGACUCCAUAUCUCCCCUAUAUCCCCACAGACACCCUAUAUCCUCCCUCAGGCCCCCACAAUCUCCUACAGCACAACAUCCUGCCCUAGAGCCCCCCCCAACCCCUAGCACCCUCAACCCUCCCACAUGUUGCCACAAACCCCUAAAGCCACAUAUCCCCCUCGAACACACCUAUAGCCCUUACAGCCCCCUCAUAGAACCGUGGAGCUCCUCCCAAAGCCCCCUACAGACCCAUAUCACCCCUAUACCCCCACAGCCCCCUAGAGAACCAAAUCCCCCUAUAUCCCCC